rnacentral:lncRNA from 1 species
AAUUUGCAACCCACCUGAGCCGCUGUUGAAAUAGACGAUCAGAAUAAUCACCCCCUGCAAACAAACAACCGGCAACAGAAGCGUCGUCAGAGUCUAGAAUCCCAAUGAGCAGCAGCGCCGGCACUCGUGCGAGGGUGUAGAGGCGGUUUACCAGCAGGAGCAGGGCGAUGGUGAGCACGGACGGCGAGCGGGACUUGUGGUGGAGCAGGCUGGCGACGGUGGGCAGGCCCCCAUCCGAGGCCCGGCGGCCGGGAUUCACCGCCCUCCUCGACAUCCUCCGCUCCUUGGUCCCCACCCUGACCGAGCGAUCGGCCGCGCUUCUCCCCCUCUCCCUCCUCGAUUACCCUGCGUCGACGCGCCGCGUCAGAUCGAACCAGUUCGCGCCGACGAG